rnacentral:rRNA from 1 species
GGGUUGUGAGGUUAAGCGAAUAAGCGUACACGGUGGAUGCCUAGGCAAUCAGAGGCGAUGAAGGACGUGCUAAUCUGCGAAAAGCGUCGGUAAGGUGAUAUGAACCGUUAUACCCGACGAUAUCCGAAUGGGGAAACCCAGUAUCCAAUGGAUACUAUCAUUAACUGAAUCCAUAGGUUAAUGAGGCGAACCGGGAGAACUGAAACAUCUCAGUACCCCGAGGAAAAGAAAUCAACCGAGAUUCCCCUAGUAGCGGCGAGCGAACGGGGAGCAGCCCAGAGUCUUAAUCAAUAGCAGUGUCAGGAGAACGGUCUGGAAAGUCCGGCAGUAAAGGGUGAUAGCCCCGUAUCUGAAGAUGCUGUUAUUGUGAACUCGACGAGUAGGGCGGGACACGUGUUAUCCUGUCUGAAUAUGGGGGGACCAUCCUCCAAGGCUAAAUACUCCUGAUUGACCGAUAGUGAACCAGUACCGUGAGGGAAAGGCGAAAAGAACCCCGGCGAGGGGAGUGAAAAAGAACCUGAAACCGUGUACGUACAAGCAGUAGGAGCCUCUUUAUGGGGUGACUGCGUACCUUUUGUAUAAUGGGUCAGCGACUUAUAUUCUGUAGCGAGGUUAACCGUAUAGGGGAGCCGUAGGGAAACCGAGUCUUAACUGGGCGAAUGAGUUGCAGGGUAUAGACCCGAAACCCGGUGAUCUAUCCAUGGGCAGGUUGAAGGUUGGGUAACACUAACUGGAGGACCGAACCGACUAAUGUUGAAAAAUUAGCGGAUGACUUGUGGAUGGGGGUGAAAGGCCAAUCAAACCGGGAGAUAGCUGGUUCUCCCCGAAAGCUAUUUAGGUAGCGCCUCGUGAACUCAUCUUCGGGGGUAGAGCACUGUUUCGACUAGGGGGUCAUCCCGACUUACCAACUCGAUGCAAACUGCGAAUACCGAAGAAUGUUAUCACGGGAGACACACGGCGGGUGCUAACGUCCGUCGUGAAGAGGGAAACAACCCAGACCGCCAGCUAAGGUCCCAAAGUCAUGGUUAAGUGGGAAACGAAGUGGGAAGGCUCAGACAGCCAGGAUGUUGGCUUAGAAGCAGCCAUCAUUUAAAGAAAGCGUAAUAGCUCACUGGUCGAGUCGGCCCGCGCGGAAGAUGUAACGGGGCUAAACCAUGCACCGAAGCUGCGGCAGCGACACAUAGUGUUGUUGGGUAGGGGAGCGUUCUGUAAGCCUGCGAAGGUGUACUGUGAGGUAUGCUGGAGGUAUCAGAAGUGCGAAUGCUGACAUAAGUAACGAUAAUGCGGGUGAAAAACCCGCACGCCGGAAGACCAAGGGUUCCUGUCCAACGUUAAUCGGGGCAGGGUGAGUCGACCCCUAAGGCGAGGCUGAAAAGCGUAGUCGAUGGGAAACGGGUUAAUAUUCCCGUACUGGUGGUAACUGCGAUGGGGGAACGGAGAAGGCUAGGUUGUCCGGGCGACGGUCGUCCCGGUUCAAGCAGGUAGGCAGAGUGAUUAGGCAAAUCCGGUCACUUAAUGCUGAGAUGUGAUGACGAACCACUAAGGUGGUGAAGCAAUUGAUGCCCCGCUUCCAGGAAAAGCCUCUAAGCUUCAGGUUACCAACAAUCGUACCCCAAACCGACACAGGUGGUCAGGUAGAGAAUACUCAGGCGCUUGAGAGAACUCGGGUGAAGGAACUAGGCAAAAUGGUGCCGUAACUUCGGGAGAAGGCACGCUGGCGGUAGGUAAAGUCCCUCGCGGACGGCGCUGAAGCCAGUCGAAGAUACCAGCUGGCUGCAACUGUUUAUUAAAAACACAGCACUGUGCAAACACGAAAGUGGACGUAUACGGUGUGACGCCUGCCCGGUGCUGGAAGGUUAAUUGAUGGGGUUAGCCGUAAGGCGAAGCUCCUGAUCGAAGCCCCAGUAAACGGCGGCCGUAACUAUAACGGUCCUAAGGUAGCGAAAUUCCUUGUCGGGUAAGUUCCGACCUGCACGAAUGGCGUAAUGAUGGUCAGGCUGUCUCCACCCGAGACUCAGUGAAAUUGAACUCGCUGUGAAGAUGCAGUGUACCCGCGGCAAGACGGAAAGACCCCGUGAACCUUUACUAUAGCUUGACACUGAACAUUGAGCCUUGAUGUGUAGGAUAGGUGGGAGGCUUUGAAGUGUGGACGCCAGUCUGCAUGGAGCCAACCUUGAAAUACCACCCUUUAACGUUUGAUGUUCUAACCUAGGCCCAUAAACUGGGUCGGGGACCGUGUCUGGUGGGUAGUUUGACUGGGGCGGUCUCCUCCUAAAGAGUAACGGAGGAGCACGAAGGUUGGCUAAGCAUGGUCGGACAUCAUGCGGUUAGUGCAAAGGCAUAAGCCAGCUUGACUGCGAGAGUGACGGCUCGAGCAGGUACGAAAGUAGGUCUUAGUGAUCCGGUGGUUCUGAAUGGAAGGGCCAUCGCUCAACGGAUAAAAGGUACUCCGGGGAUAACAGGCUGAUACCGCCCAAGAGUUCAUAUCGACGGCGGUGUUUGGCACCUCGAUGUCGGCUCAUCACAUCCUGGGGCUGAAGUAGGUCCCAAGGGUAUGGCUGUUCGCCAUUUAAAGUGGUACGCGAGCUGGGUUUAGAACGUCGUGAGACAGUUCGGUCCCUAUCUGCCGUGGGCGUUGGAAGAUUGAGAGGGGUUGCUCCUAGUACGAGAGGACCGGAGUGAACGCACCACUGGUGUUCGGGUUGUCAUGCCAAUGGCAUUGCCCGGUAGCUAAGUGCGGAAGAGAUAACCGCUGAAAGCAUCUAAGCGGGAAACUUGCCUCGAGAUGAGUCUUCCCUGUCGCUUUAAGUGACCUAAAGGAACGUUUAAGACUAAGACGUUGAUAGGCUGGGUGUGUAAGCGUAGCGAUACGUUGAGCUAACCAGUACUAAUGAACCGUGAGGCUUAACCUGACAACACCGAAAGUGUUUUG